UUGUUUACGUGAUGAGAGAUUUUUUCAUAUUUAUACAGUUAUCCCUGUCUUAAUACAUUAUGUCGAGAAUAUUAUUCUGAAAAUAA
rnacentral:snoRNA from 1 species